AUGGCAGUGCAGCGGAAAAUGGACAUCCGGAGUGGCAUACAAAAGGCAGUGGAGCCCCUCCCUACCUCUCUCCCCUCCUCCCCUCAACAGCCGGAGGACAGCCAGGCAGAGCGGAGCGCCAGGCCCACCGCUGACAACCACAGCAAGGACACCCAGCCAGCCGCCGGCCACCGAGACGACAAAAAACCCAGUGCAGCAGUGAGAGGAUACCGCAGCAGUAAGACGGCCAUGAGCCCUGCAAGCUUUAGCUCCCAAUGGAACAGCAGUGUACAGGGGGCCUGUAGUGGCCACUCCGUCUCCUACCCCCGCUCCAGCCUGCAGUACCCGGCCCACCUCCAUCACCACACCAGCUACGCUUACUGCCAGGGACAGCCAGCAGUGAGUACUCUCAAACAUAUACUGUACAGCUAUGCUCACUUUGCACUCUCCAUCGCCCUCUCACGUCUCCCUCUCUCCACACUCUCCACACUCUCUCCCACUUUCCCACUCUGUCAGACUCCUGCCUCUCACUCUUAUUCUCUUUACUUUCUACUCUAUCCCCCUCUCCCUUCAAUGGGAAAUGAAUGUUUAUCUGUUCUCACACUGACAUACAGUGUGUAGUGGGCAACACAUGUGGCUGAUCCCGCCAACGCGAACAAACAUUCUGAAACCCCCCUCACCUUCCAUGCGUCUCUCAGAUCCCCUGUAUUCACAAACAUGGAGAGACCCCCCUGAAGUACUUGCGUGUGAAGGACUGAUUGAACAUACUGUAGCGUAGUAGGUGAUAACCAUCAGUCUCCAUUUUGUUUCAUGUUGCACACCAUUCUCUGAUGUUACCACUGUGUUGAUAAAAUGCUGGCUCAAUGAACCUUAGAUUUAGUUCAGUGUGUUAUUAACAACAACAACACAUGCUGCUGCACAGUAUGACUGUAGUACUGUCUCCCAAAUAUAUCCUUCCUGUUGUUGGUUAGCUAGCUAGCGAAUUUCAGCCAUAUUAGCAUUGACGUGAAAUAAUUUGAAACACCUCAAAACAACACAUGGUAUCAAGAACAAGAUACAACUAGCUAUCUGACCGUUCAAAAUCAUAGCAAAGCCCGGCUUCUGGCCACAUCAAUGCACGCUCAUCAUUUUCGUGACGUUGUGAGCCAGCCCGUCUAUAAAUGUUUUUUUUUUUUUUUUAAAUGAACAUGGUUUUGACUAUGGUUGUGGUCAUGUCAGUUGUGUUUAUGUGAGGAGUGGCAGCGUUGGUACAGUACAGCAUGUUCCCCAGCCAUAUCCCUGAGGAAUGUCUCCUAUUGACUAGAGCAGGGGUCAUUUAGCCUGGUCCCAGAUCUGUUUGUGCCGUCUUGUCGACAAUAACCAUAGAAGUUGGCAAGACAGGACAAACAGUUCUGGAACCUGGCUAGGGGUGGUGACUGUCUGUGUCUGAAUUUGGUAAAUACAACUCUGGACCUGAUUCACAAAGAAACGGACACACCCUAGACUCAUCUGGUCGUCAUGUGGACCUCAGUGUUUGUGUAGGAUGCUUGGACACACCCUGCUGGUGGAUCUCAGUCUCCCGCUAACCUGUUUCAGCUCCAUCUGAGCCCUGGAUACAUCAAAGGCUGGCUUGUCCUCGACCCAACUCCCACACCACGCAGACACACACUUUUACUGGGCUGUUUUUACGGGAAACCAGGCCGGAUGUUUUCUUACUGGUUGUUAGUUUUUUGUCCCUCCCCCGCCAUGCAUCUACAAGACAAGUCACCACUUUGGACCCAUUGGAGGUUUCGCAACGCCUAGAAUUGUUUAUGCCAGACAGAUCCUAGCAAACAAAGCAUGCCUUCAUCCGUCCAUCCUUCAAGGUUUGUGUAUUUUCUCAUGGUCUUUCAUUUAAAACAUGCACUUUCGUUGACUCAUAUCCUAACCCCCCCCCCCUUCCCAGCCAUUGUGUUUUUAAGCAAAUUACAUGCAAAAGCGUUUUUUUUUGUUGAAGUCGAUGAAAAACAGAACCGAUACCUCUGCCUCUCUCUCUGUCCCCUCGGAUGAGCGAGGCAAGUAAAUAACGAGAGGCGCUCAGAUCCAGCCGAGAUCAAGCGCCUGCGCCUCCAGUGGUUUUCUAAUUACAAUGGAAGCGGAUACAUUUCCACUUUUAAUAUGGGAUGGAUGUCCCCGAGGAGACAUGGGAUUAUGACAAAACAGAACCAGAGGAAGUCGGAAGAGAGAAAGAGCGGAGGAGAUGUGAUCUGCCGGAGCGAGGACUGAGGAGACGCAUGAGUUGUGUUGAAUGAAGGAUACCAUUGCCAAGCACCACAGGCCUUCCAUCUGUAUUCUAUCUCAUAUGUCACAUGCAGUCCUCUGGUGUACCAUUCAACAAACACUUAACCAGUACAGGUAAUGGUCACAGCAAAUUGACCGGCCUUCGGGUGCUUGAGUGUAAUAAAACUUGACA
rnacentral:lncRNA from 13 species